GCGGGGAUAGCCGAGCUGGUCAAAUCAGGGUCAGAGAAGAUUAAAGGCGCUGGACUUAAGAUCCAGUUCCGUAGGGAUACGAGGGUUCGAAUGGAAGCGCUGGGACAGCGUCCCGAGUUUCCCUCUCCCCGCACCA
rnacentral:tRNA from 1 species